AGUAGUCAUAUGCUUGUCUCAAAGAUUAAGCCAUGCAUGUCUAAGUACGACUUAAGUACGGUGAAACUGCGAAUGGCUCAUUAAAUCAGUUUUGGUUCAUUUGAUCGUAAAUUUUUACAUGGAUAACUGUUGUAAUUCAAGAGCUAAUACAUGCAAACAGCGUUACUCUAUGAGUGACGUGCUUUUAUCAGAUCAAAAUCAAUCACCUUCGGGUGUUCCACAUUGUGGCGAGUCUGGAUAAUUUUAGCUGAUCGCAUGGUCUUUAGUACCGGCGAUGGAUCAUUCAAGUGUCUGACCUAUCAACUGUCGAUGGUAGCGUAUUGGUCUACCAUGGUUGUAACGGGUAACGGAGAAUUAGGGUUUGGUUCCGGAGAGGGAGCCCGAGAAACGGCUACCACAUCCAAGGAAGGCAGCAGGCGCGCAAAUUACCCAUUCCCGACUCGGGGAGGUAGUGACGAAAAAUAACAAUUCAAGACUCUAAACGAGGCCUUGAAGUUGGAAUGAGUACACUUUAAAAUUUUUAACGAGUAUCUAUUGGAGGGCAAGUCUGGUGCCAGCAGCCGCGGUAAUUCCAGCUCCAAUAGCGUAUACUAAAGUUGUUGCGGUUAAAAAGCUCGUAGUUGGAUCUUGGGGCGUGUGCAUGCGGUCACCCGAAAGGUGUGUACUGCUUGACGUGUUCUUCUAUUUGGUUGCGCGUGUGUGUUCUCUUAACUGAGUGCCGCACUCGACCGAAACGUUUACCUUGAAAAAAUUAGAGUGUUCAAAGCAGACCAUUGUUGUCUGAAUAUUCGUGCAUGGAAUAAUAGAAUAGGAAUUCGGUUCUAUUUUGUUGGUUUUCGGAACUCGAGUUAAUGAUUAAGAGGGACAGACGGGGGCAUUCGUACUCUGCCGUUAGAGGUGAAAUUCUUGGAUCGGCGGAAGACGCGCAACUGCGAAAGCAUUUGCCAAGAAUGUUUUCUUUAAUCAAGAACGAUAGUCGGAGGUUCGAAGACGAUCAGAUACCGUCCUAGUUUCGACUGUAAACUAUGCCAGCUAACGAUCAGACAGCGUUCUCUACGACUUGUCUGGCAGUUUCCGGGAAACCAAAGCGUUUGGGUUCCGGGGGAAGUAUGGUUGCAAAGCUGAAACUUAAAGGAAUUGACGGAAGGGCACCACCAGGAGUGGAGC
rnacentral:rRNA from 1 species